UGCAAGUCGAGGGGUAACAGGGUCUUCGGAUCGCUGACGACCGGCGCACGGGUGCGUAACGCGUAUGCAACCUACCUCUAACUGGGGAAUAGCCCCGAGAAAUCGGGAUUAAUACCCCAUAAUAUUCAUCAUUCGCAUGUUUGAUGAAUUAAAGUUCCGACGGUUAGAGAUGGGCAUGCGUGACAUUAGUUUGUUGGUGAGGUAACGGCUCACCAAGACUACGAUGUCUAGGGGUUCUGAGAGGAUUGUCCCCCACACUGGUACUGAGACACGGACCAGACUCCUACGGGAGGCAGCAGUAAGGAAUAUUGGUCAAUGGACGAAAGUCUGAACCAGCCAUGCCGCGUGCAGGAUGACUGCCCUAUGGGUUGUAAACUGCUUUUGUAUGGGAAGAAACUUCCGGACGUGUCCGGAACUGACGGUACCAUACGAAUAAGCACCGGCUAACUCCGUGCCAGCAGCCGCGGUAAUACGGAGGGUGCAAGCGUUAUCCGGAUUUAUUGGGUUUAAAGGGUGCGCAGGCGGAAUGAUAAGUCAGUGGUGAAAACCUACAGCUCAACUGUAGACCUGCCAUUGAUACUGUCAUUCUUGAGUACAGUGGAAGUGGGCGGAAUGUAUCAUGUAGCGGUGAAAUGCAUAGAUAUGAUACAGAACACCGAUAGCGUAAGCAGCUCACUAUACUGAA
rnacentral:rRNA from 1 species